rnacentral:lncRNA from 1 species
UCCCAUCAUUGUAGAUGCAUCGGUCCUUGUAAGGGUCCGAUGCGUUACCGACGAUGAGGUCGUCGGUUUUAGGUGGAUGCUAGGUCCACGUCGAUACGUUGGGGCUUUGGCGAGCGCCGAUCAUUAGUCGAAGAGUUAAGUCUCCGAGAUUUCAAACCAAGUUUGUUUUCCGACUGAACAAUUACAAAGCUCAUGGGUAAUACAACUUCAAGUUGUCGGCGUUCCAAGUCCGGGGAAUGGGCUUCCCUUCAAGGGUCUCCAGCCGAUAGGCUCUCGGCCCGUAGGUGUCUGCAACCUUGUAGGGUCCUUCCCAGUUUGGAGCCAACUUUCUCUGAUCCAAGGGCUUCGAGACCUCCGCCUUCCUCAAGACCAA